rfam:Rattus norvegicus chromosome 19, whole genome shotgun sequence.
GGAGAUUUAGCUCAGUGGUAGAGCGCUUGCCUAGCAAACGCAAGGCUCUGGGUUCAGUCCCCAGCUCCG